AGAGUUUGAUUCUGGCUCAGAACGAACGCUGGCAGCGUGGAUUAGGCAUGCAAGUCGAACGAGAAGCCCCCUUCGGGGGGUGGAGAGUGGCGAAAGGGUGAGUAACGCGUGAGUAAGCUGCCCUCAAGUUGGGGAUAGCCUCGGGAAACCGGGAUUAAUACCGAAUGUGGUGCUUUGUCGCAUGACAGAUGCACUAAAGGUGGGGACCUACGGGCCUGCCGCUUGGGGAGGUGCUCGCGUGCCAUCAGCUUGUUGGCGGGGUAACGGCCCACCAAGGCUUACGGCUAGCUGGUCUGAGAGGAUGAUCAGCCACACUGGGACUGAGACACUGCCCAGACUCCUACGGGAGGCUGCAGUCGAGGAUCAUUCGCAAUGCGCGAAAGCGUGACGAUGCGACGCUGCGUGGAGGAUGAAGGCCCUCGGGUCGUAAACUCCUGUCAUGAGGGAAAAGUCAGCAUGGGGUCAAUACCCCCGUGCUUCGAUGGUACCUCAAGAGGAAGCCACGGCUAACUCUGUGCCAGCAGCCGCGGUAAUACAGAGGUGGCUAGCGUUGUUCGGAUUUACUGGGCGUAAAGCGUGCGUAGGCGGUUCGGUAUGUCGGAUGUGAAAGCCCGGGGCCCAACCUCGGAAGUGCAUCCGAAACUGCCGGACUAGAGUACAGGAUGGGAGAGCGGAAUUCAUGGUGUAGCGGUGAAAUGCGUUGAUAUCAUGAAGAACACCGGUGGCGAAGGCGGCUCUCUGGAAUGUUACUGACGCUGAGGCACGAAAGCGUGGGGAGCAAACAGGAUUAGAUACCCUGGUAGUCCACGCCGUAAACGGUGCGCACUUGGUGUGGGGAGUGUUGACCCUCUCCGUGCCGGAGCUAACGCGUUAAGUGCGCCGCCUGGGGAGUACGGCCGCAAGGCUAAAACUCAAAGAAAUUGACGGGGGCCCGCACAAGCGGAGGAGCAUGUGGCUUAAUUCGAUGCAACGCGAAGAACCUUACCUGGGUUUGACAUGUGGCUGCUUCCCUCUCGAAAGAGAGGGGUCCUUUGAGGGUGCCACACAGGUGCUGCAUGGCUGUCGUCAGUUCGUGCCGUGAGGUGUUUGGUUAAGUCCAGCAACGAACGCAACCCCUAUGUCCAGUUGCCAGCGGGUAAUGCCGGGGACUCUGGACAUACUGCCCGUACAAGCGGAAGGAAGGUGGGGACGACGUCAAGUCAGUAUGGCCCUUACGCCCAGGGCUGCACACGUGCUACAAUGGCCGGUACAAUAGGAAGCAAAGCCGCGAGGUGGAGCAAAUCCCCAAAGCCGGCCUCAGUUCGGAUUGGAGUCUGCAACUCGACUCCAUGAAGUCGGAUUCGCUAGUAACGGCGUAUCAGCUACGACGCCGUGAAUACGUUCCCGGGCCUUGUACACACCGCCCGUCACAUCAUGAAAGCCGUCUGCACCCGAAGUCACUGAGCCAACCCGCAAGGGGGGCAGGUGCCGAAGGUGUGGGUGGUGAUUGG
rnacentral:rRNA from 1 species